rnacentral:rRNA from 1 species
UACGUAGGGGGCUAGCGUUGUCCGGAAUCAUUGGGCGUAAAGCGCGCGUAGGCGGCCCGGUAAGUCCGCUGUGAAAGUCAAAGGCUCAACCUUUGAAUGUCAGCGGAUACUGCCAGGCUAGAGUCCGGAAGAGGCGAGUGGAACUCCUGGUGUAGCGGUGGAAUGCGCAGAUAUCAGGAAGAACACCAACGGCGAAGGCAGCUCGCUGGGACGGAACUGACGCUAAGGCGCGAAAGCGUGGGGAGCGAACAGG